GUGAAUCAUCAAAUUUUUGAACGCAAAUUGCACUCUUUUCGCAGAGUAUGUCUGUUUGAGGGUCAGCCUGAAAAAACCGACAUAGUUGCUGUUACGCGGUAAGAUUAGCCGGAAAUUGGGUCAUCUUAAACCUUUGGGUUCAAGCGGCAUAAAAUAUUCUUUACGAUUCUAAGAACGUUUAAAAGAU
rnacentral:misc_RNA from 1 species